CUUAAUGGUCUUAAAUAUCGAUUGCCUUAACACACAGCAGUCCCUUUCUCUUCCGACGUUUAAAUAAGCCUUCCCAAUUAUGGUUAAAAAAAUGGUAAUGUCAUUUAUUUCAUAAUUAGAAGUGUAAUAAUAAAGUAGAUCUACAAAUUUGUUCUUAAAAAUAUUUCAAAUAAUGAUCAAAGGCAGGGAAAUUAAUUUUGAUCAUUUAUUAUUUUAAUAAUUUUAAGUCCCUAAAUGAUUACAAUCAAUUGAAGGCCCCCAGAGGUAGUAACCAUGGGCAAAGUCUGACACAGGAAAUAGAACUCUUUGCUUCUGACAUCAUACAUGACACCUUUAGCUACUUGUGAACACUGCCACAAGAGAGACCUCAGGGACACAACCUUCAAAGCUGAGAAGUGUAAGGGGGAGAAUUAGAGAGCAGCUGGAGUGCAAAGUAUAUCAGCAAAUACUACAGGAGGAGGAGUGCAUGUGUCCUGAAUACAAAAUGAGGAAGCAGGGGCAAAGAGGGAAUGAGUACAUGAAUCAGUCUCAUACAGCUUGUAAAUGGUGGGACCAAGAUUGAGACAGCCUGAUUCCAGUGUCCAUGCACUUAACUACUAUGCGUGAUUAAACAUUAAUUUAAGUAUUAAUUAAUUAUUAAACAAAAAAACAAAGCAAAACACCUGUCCUUUAAAAAUGAUUAAAUUAUUUUAUUAAAAAAAUUACUGUAUUAUGUAUGAUGGAUUAUUACGUAGGUAUGAUUGACAGACAAAAAGGUAUACAUACCUAACGUAUAAA
rnacentral:lncRNA from 1 species